GAACUACUAUAACAAAACCUAUUCCCCUUUACCCCGCAUGACCAACAAUGAAAUCCAAAAGUGGACGUUAGCACAACCCAAUUCGACAGUAGAGAAGAAGGAAGAAAAAUAAGGGAAAAGCGAGGAAGAAAGAAUGAACAAAGGAAUAGCAAAAAAGAACUUACUAUAACAAAAAAUGGAGAAAAGAAAGGAACAAGAAAAACAAAAUCAGAAUGUGAGAAAGAACGAUAAUAAUGAAACGGCAAAACAGAAAAAAGAAAAGAAA
rnacentral:lncRNA from 1 species